UUUCUAUGAGUUUUCCCAUGUAAAUCUGUCGGCAGCUUCCCCACUUGGAACUCAUUCCUUUGAUCUUCAGUAUAGAGGUGCUGGCAUUCCUGGAAAAAGACAACAUCACCAGCGUCCCUGACAAAUUAUGCUUUAGUGAUUCAAAUUGUUUAGCAGCUUGGGCUGGGUAUUUCUCAGGUGGCGUCCCAAUUUUUCCACGUUACUAAAUGCAUGCCCCCAUUUUCUCUAUUUUUUUCCAGGAGGGUUUCCUCUGGUUUGAGGCAAGCACAUCAUCUAACUCCUGCAGUAGUUAAUUAGAAGUGUAUGGCCCUUUCCCCACCAUGCAGAAAUUUUAAGGCUACAAGUGGCUCGAAGGAAGAAAACAUCAUGUGGGCUGUAACUUCUGCAGUUCUGUGAAGUUCCUACAAACUCUGCAAGAAAGGGACUGGGGAAACCAGAAGAGGUGGCUUGGGCAAUUGGGGUAGAUCAGCCCAAUAAAUUAGAGCUGCUUUAAAAA